UGAGGAAUAUUGGUCAAUGGACGCAAGUCUGAACCAGCCAUGCCGCGUGCAGGAUGAAGCAUCUAUGGUGUGUAAACUGCUUUUGUACGGGAAGAAACACUCCUACGUGUAGGAGCUUGACGGUACCGUAAGAAUAAGGAUCGGCUAACUCCGUGCCAGCAGCCGCGGUAAUACGGAGGAUCCAAGCGUUAUCCGGAAUCAUUGGGUUUAAAGGGUCCGUAGGCGGCUUUAUAAGUCAGUGGUGAAAGCCCAUCGCUUAACGAUGGAACGGCCAUUGAUACUGUAGAGCUUGAAUUACUUGGAAGUAACUAGAAUAUGUAGUGUAGCGGUGAAAUGCUUAGAUAUUACAUGGAAUACCAAUUGCGAAGGCAGGUUACUACAAGUGGAUUGACGCUGAUGGACGAAAGCGUGGGGAGCGAACAGG
rnacentral:rRNA from 1 species